rnacentral:rRNA from 1 species
UACGGGGGGGGCAAGCGUUGUUCGGAAUUACUGGGCGUAAAGGGCGCGUAGGCGGCUCGCUAAGUCGGAUGUGAAAACUCUGGGCUCAACCCAGAGCCUGCAUUCGAAACUGACGAGCUCGAGUUCUGGAGGGGAAAGCGGAAUUCCUGGUGUAGCGGUGAAAUGCGUAGAUAUCAGGAGGAACACCGGUGGCGAAGGCGGCUUUCUGGACAGAAACUGACGCUGAUGCGCGAAAGCUAGGGGAGCAAACGGG